AAGAGUUUUGAAUACUAAAAGAAAAGCACCUAUACCUAACAAGAUUAGGUGAAUAUCCAAAAUGGUGGUCAUUUUAUUUCUAUCUUUCUA
rfam:Citrus clementina cultivar Clemenules unplaced genomic scaffold scaffold_8, whole genome shotgun sequence.